CGGAGGGAUCAUUAAUAGAAGCCGAAAGGCUACUUAAACCAUCGCGAACACGUCCAAGUUGCUUCGGCGGUCGGGGCCCCCCAUCUGGGGCCCCCUCGAGUGCCGGUGAGCCCCCCAGGGUCUCCCUGGGGGUUGUACGGCCGCCGCCGGAGGUACGAAACUCUGCAUUAUAGUGGCAUCUCUGAGUAAAACACAAAUAAGUUAAAACUUUCAACAACGGAUCUCUUGGUUCUGGCAUCGAUGAAGAACGCAGCGAAAUGCGAUAAGUAAUGUGAAUUGCAGAAUUCAGUGAAUCAUCGAAUCUUUGAACGCACAUUGCGCCCGCUAGUACUCUAGCGGGCAUGCCUGUUCGAGCGUCAUUUCAACCCUCAAGCCCUGCUUGGUGUUGGGGCCCUACGGCUGCCGUAGGCCCUGAAAGGAAGUGGCGGGCUCGCUGCAACUCCGAGCGUAGUAAUUCAUUAUCUCGCUAGGGAGGCUUGCGGCGCGCUCCGGCCGUUAAAGACCAUCUUUAACUCAAGGUUGACCUCGGAUCAGGUAGGAAUACCCGCUGAACUUAAGCAUAUCAAUAA
rnacentral:rRNA from 1 species